UCCCACAAGUUGCCAUGGGGACCUUCUAGCCCUUUACAUUCAGAGAGCAGGUCCUCUGGGCCCACCUCUUCCCAUCACGUUGCCAUGGCGACGCUGGGACGCUAAAGGGCAGUACAUCGGCUUUUUCUUCCCUGCCGUGUCUCCCGAAUUUUUGCCCCACCUGCCCCUGCGACACCCAGAAUCUGUUCCAGCUGCCCGCCGGUGGGAGACUCCGGCCUGCACAGAACGCUGGGCCACCCGGGGACGGUGGCUAGAAAAGCCUGCCUGAAGAGACAGGUCUCCACCUGCUUGGACAAGGACAGCACAGAGAACACUUCUCCUUUCAGGGAAGAGAUGCAGCGUACCAGGAGCAAGAUGCUUGCAAAGCAUAAUGUCAGGUUACCGGGUUUGUUUUUUCACACCCAAACCAAAGAUUUUGUGUCCUUGUAAAGGGUAGAGUUAGUUCUUGGACUGCGGUCCAUUUCAGGAGUCAAGAACCUGUGCUGCUUUUAAGAUCUCAAGUUCCCCGUUUAGGCAUUUGAUGGGGGACUCCUGGAUUACUUCCAAGGAGCCAUAUUCUUUAGGCUUUCCCCACCGAAAUUCCCACGGCUGUAGUUGAGGCGGGGAGUACUGGUUUUUCCAUAAGAGGAUCAAGAAUACCAAGCUGUUAAAGAAGACCCAGGCACAGUAAGCGAAAAAUAGAAAGCAAAAAAAGCAAAG